rnacentral:rRNA from 1 species
CAUGGCUCAGGACGAACGCUGGCGGCGUGCUUAACACAUGCAAGUCGAACGUGAUUUUUAUGGAAGAACCUUCGGGGACGGAAGUAAAAUGAAAGUGGCGAACGGGUGAGUAACACGUGAGCAACCUACCUUACACAGGGGGAUAGCCGUUGGAAACGACGAUUAAUACCGCAUGAGACCACAAUACUGCAUGGUAAAGGGGUCAAAGAUUUAUCGGUGUAAGAUGGGCUCGCGUCUGAUUAGCUAGUUGGAAGGGUAAAGGCCUACCAAGGCGACGAUCAGUAGCCGGUCUGAGAGGAUGAACGGCCACACUGGAACUGAGACACGGUCCAGACUCCUACGG